UUAAAAAGCUCGUAGUUGGAUCAAGAGCUGGACUGUGCACGGUGGCCCCGUUAGUCGUGGUGGGUCCUGCUCAUCCCGACGGCGGCGGAACAACCCCGCGCAUUACGCAGUCCACUCUAGCAGGCCGAAACGGUUCCCUGUGAGUAGGCCCCUUUAUUGGAGUCGAAAGCGCCAACGCAUCAACCAUAUGCAUACGGGACGUCGGCCAAUGUUACUGUGAACAAACCAGCGUGUCCAAAGCAGGCCUUCGCCUGAAUGUUCGAGCAUGGAAUAACAAGGGAUCGAUUCUCUCGGUUCUUUUUGUUGGUUUUUAACCCGAGAAGGAGUAAUUCAGUCCACGGUGUCUGAGUUGGGUUACCCUAGGUCUAGGCUUAGGCCCCAAUUAGGCCGUGUGCUUACGGGAUCAAUAGGGACUGACGGGGUCGUACGUACUUCCGCGUCAGAGGUGAAAUUCUUAGAUCGCGGGAAGACGAACUUCUGCGAAAGCAUUCGACAAGAAUGUCUUCAUUAAUCAAGAACGAGAGUGUGGGGAUCGAAGAUGAUCAGAUACCGUCGUAGUCCACUACUGUAAACAAUGCCGUCUCAGGAUUGAGAAGUGAACUGAAUGACUUUCACAGCACUAACCCCUGAAACGAGAAAUCAAAGAUUAUGGGUUCAGGGGGGAGUACAUUCGCAAGGCUGAAACUUAAAGGAAUUGACGGAAUGACACCACAAGGCGUGGAGUAUGCGGCUUAAUUUGACUCAACACGGGGAAUUUUACUAGGUCAGGACAAUGUAAGGAUUGACAGAUUGAGAGCUCUUUCUCGAUCCAUUGUGUGGUGGUGCAUGGCCGCUCCUGGUUGGUGGAGUGAUUUGUCUGGUUGAUUCCGUUAACGAACGAGAUCUCGACCCUUAAAUAGGUGCCCGUGUCGCUCGUAGUCUCACUCCGCUGGGCCUGC
rnacentral:rRNA from 1 species